CAGUAGCCGCGGGAAUACGGAGGAUCCAAGCGUUAUCCGGAAUCAUUGGGUUUAAAGGGUCCGUAGGCGGUCUUGUAAGUCAGUGGUAAAAGCCCAUCGCUCAACGGUGGAACGGCCAUUGAUACUGCAGGACUUGAAUUAUUGGGAAGUAACUAGAAUAUGUAGUGUAGCGGUGAAAUGCUUAGAGAUUACAUGGAAUACCAAUUGCGAAGGCAGGUUACUACCAAUUGAUUGACGCUGAUGGACGAAAGCGUGGGUAGCGAACAGGAUUAGAUACCCCAGUAGUCCCUGUCUCUUAUAC
rnacentral:rRNA from 1 species